rnacentral:rRNA from 1 species
GACGAACGCUGGCGGCGUGCUUAACACAUGCAAGUCGAACGGAAAGGCCCUGCUUUUGUGGGGUGCUCGAGUGGCGAACGGGUGAGUAACACGUGAGUAACCUGCCCUUGACUUUGGGAUAACUUCAGGAAACUGGGGCUAAUACCGGAUAGGAGCUCCUGCUGCAUGGUGGGGGUUGGAAAGUUUCGGCGGUUGGGGAUGGACUCGCGGCUGAUCAGCUUGUUGGUGGGGUAGUGGCUUACCAAGGCUUUGACGGGUAGCCGGCCUGAGAGGGUGACCGGCCACAUUGGGACUGAGAUACGGCCCAGACUCCUACGGGAGACAGCAGUGGGGAAUAUUGCACAAUGGGCGGAAGCCUGAUGCAGCAACGCCGCGUGCGGGAUGACGGCCUUCGGGUUGUAAACCGCUUUCGCCUGUGACGAAGCGUGAGUGACGGUAAUGGGUAAAGAAGCACCGGCUAACUACGUG